AAUAAAUCUUUAAGGGGGCUAGAGAGAUGGCUCACCGGCUAUCAGCACAAGCUGCCCCUCCAGAGGACCCACGUCCUAGUCCCAGCAGCCACGUGGCAGCUCACAACCGUGUGUGACUCCAGUUCCAGGGGCUUUCGAUACCCUCACACAGACACACACGCGAGCAAAACACCAACGCACAUAAAAUAAAAAUAAACAAAUCAUAUUUAAAAUGAUGUAAAUAAAUCUACGAAGAGAAGGAGGAAGAGGAAGAAGGAGGCAGAGGCUCGUCCUGGCCUUACUUCUCCCAGCUGAGGGCCCAGGGAACACAUUGACUCAAAACAACGUUCCACAUUUUAACACCUGAGUCCAACAUAAGGUUUGGUUUUGUUUUAAAUAAAAGUGACAACUGUGGUAAGAA
rnacentral:lncRNA from 1 species